rnacentral:rRNA from 1 species
AAAUUGAAGAGUUUGAUCAUGGCUCAGAUUGAACGCUGGCGGCAGGCCUAACACAUGCAAGUCGAGCGGCAGCGGGAAAGUAGCUUGCUACUUUUGCCGGCGAGCGGCGGACGGGUGAGUAAUGCCUGGGGAUCUGCCCAGUCGAGGGGGAUAACAGUUGGAAACGACUGCUAAUACCGCAUACGCCCUACGGGGGAAAGGAGGGGACCUUCGGGCCUUUCGCGAUUGGAUGAACCCAGGUGGGAUUAGCUAGUUGGUGGGGUAAUGGCUCACCAAGGCGACGAUCCCUAGCUGGUCUGAGAGGAUGAUCAGCCACACUGGAACUGAGACACGGUCCAGACUCCUACGGGAGGCAGCAGUGGGGAAUAUUGCACAAUGGGGGAAACCCUGAUGCAGCCAUGCCGCGUGUGUGAAGAAGGCCUUCGGGUUGUAAAGCACUUUCAGCGAGGAGGAA